rnacentral:rRNA from 1 species
AACGAACGCUGGCGGCAGGCCUAACACAUGCAAGUCGAGCGGGACCUUCGGGUCUAGCGGCGGACGGGUUAGUAACGCGUGGGAACGUGCCCAAAGGUACGGAAUAGCCUCGGGAAACUGAGAGUAAUACCGUAUGUGCCCCUCGGGGGAAAGAUUUAUCGCCUUUGGAUCGGCCCGCGUUGGAUUAGGUAGUUGGUGGGGUAAUGGCCUACCAAGCCGACGAUCCAUAGCUGGUUUGAGAGGAUGAUCAGCAACACUGGGACUGAGACACGGCCCAGACUCCUACGGGAGGCAGCAGUGGGGAAUCUUAGACAAUGGGGGAAACCCUGAUCUAGCCAUGCCGCGUGAGCGAUGAAGGCCUUAGGGUUGUAAAGCUCUUUCAGAUGGGAAGAUAAUGACGGUACCAUCAGAAGAAGCCCCGGCUAACUCCGUGCCAGCAGCCGCGGUAAUGUCUGUACU